GACGAACGCUGGCGGCGUGCUUAACACAUGCAAGUCGAACGCUGAAGCUUGGUGCUUGCACUGGGUGGAUGAGUGGCGAACGGGUGAGUAAUACGUGAGUAACCUGCCCUUGACUCUGGGAUAAGCCUGGGAAACUGGGUCUAAUACUGGAUAUGACAUGCCACUGCAUGGUGGUGUGUGGAAAGGGUUUUACUGGUUUUGGAUGGGCUCACGGCCUAUCAGCUUGUUGGUGGGGUAAUGGCCUACCAAGGCGACGACGGGUAGUCGGCCUGAGAGGGUGACCGGCCACACUGGGACUGAGACACGGCCCAGACUCCUACGGGAGGCAGCAGUGGGGAAUAUUGCACAAUGGGCGGAAGCCUGAUGCAGCGACGCCGCGUGAGGGAUGACGGCCUUCGGGUUGUAAACCUCUUUCAGCACGGAAGAAGCGAGAGUGACGGUACGUGCAGAAGAGGCGCCGGCUAACUACGUG
rnacentral:rRNA from 1 species